UGGGUAAUAUUGCACAAUGGGCGCAAGCCUGAUGCAGCCAUGCCGCGUGUGUGAAGAAGGCCUUCGGGUUGUAAAGCACUUUCAGCGGGGAGGAAGGCGGUGAGGUUAAUAACCUCAUCGAUUGACGUUACCCGCAGAAGAAGCACCGGCUAACUCCGUGCCAGCAGCCGCGGUAAUACGGAGGGUGCAAGCGUUAAUCGGAAUUACUGGGCGUAAAGCGCACGCAGGCGGUUUGUUAAGUCAGAUGUGAAAUCCCCGGGCUCAACCUGGGAACUGCAUCUGAUACUGGCAAGCUUGAGUCUCGUAGAGGGGGGUAGAAUUCCAGGUGUAGCGGUGAAGUGCGUAGAGAUCUGGAGGAAGACCGGUGGCGAAGGCGGCCCCCUGGACGAAGACUGACGCUCAGGUGCGAAAGCGUGGGGAGCAAACAGG
rnacentral:rRNA from 1 species